GAUGAACGCUGGCGGCGUGCCUAAUACAUGCAAGUCGAGCGAACAGACGGGGAGCUUGCUCCUCUGACGUUAGCGGCGGGCGGGUGAGUAACACGUGCAUCACCUACCUCUAUGACUGGGAUAACUUCGGGAAACCGGAUCUAAUACCGGAUAAUAUAUUGAACCGCAUGGUUCAAUGGUGAAACACGCUUUUCCUGUCUCUUAUAGAUGGAUCCGCGCCGCAUUAGCUAGUUGGUAAGGUAACGGCUUACCAAGGCGACGAUGCGUAGCCGACCUGAGAGGAUGAUCGGCCACACUGGAACUGAGACACGGUCCAGACUCCUACGGGAGGCAGCAGUAGGGAAUCUUCCGCAAUGGGCGAAAGCCUGACGGAGCAACGCCGCGUGAGUGAUGAAGGUCUUCGGAUCGUAAAACUCUGUUAUUAGGGAAGAAAAAAUGUGUAAGUAACUAUGCACGUCUUGACGGUACCUAAUCAGAAAGCAACGGCUAACUACGUG
rnacentral:rRNA from 1 species